rnacentral:rRNA from 1 species
GUGCGGGAGCAGGACCGGCUGAUGCCAAUCGCGAACGUGAUCCGCAUCAUGCGCCGCGCGCUCCCUGCCCACGCCAAGAUCUCCGACGACGCCAAGGAGGCAAUUCAGGAAUGCGUGUCGGAGUUCAUCAGCUUCGUCACCGGCGAGGCCAACGAACGGUGCCGCAUGCAGCACCGCAAGACCGUCAACGCCGAAGACAUCGUGUGGGCCCUAAACCGCCUCGGCUUCGACGACUACGUCGUCCCCCUCAGCAUCUUCUUGCACCGCAUGCGCGACCCCGAGGCGGGGACAGGUGGUGCCGCUGCAGGCGACAGCCGCGCCGUGACGAGUGCGCCUCCCCGCGCGGCCCCGCCCGUGAUCCACGCCGUGCCGCUCCAGGCUCAGCGCCCGAUGUACGCGCCUCCGGUGUUAGUACUAAUCUUGUGCAUGUAG